rnacentral:rRNA from 1 species
UACGAGGGGUGCAAGCGUUGCUCGGAAUUAUUGGGCGUAAAGGGCAGGUAGGUGGUCUUAUUUGUCUUGUGUGAAAUCCUUGGGCUUAACCCAAGAAGUGCGCAAGAAACGGUAAGACUAGAGUCCCAGAGAGGCUUGUGGAAUUCCCGGUGUAGCGGUGAAAUGCGUAGAUAUCAGGAGGAACACCUGUGGUGUAGACAGCUUACUGGACCAUUUCUGACGCUGAGACACGAAAGCGUGGGUAGCAAACAGG